UACGUAGGGGGCGAGCGUUGUCCGGAAUUACUGGGCGUAAAGAGCGUGUAGGCGGGUGUUUAAGUCAGGUGUGAAAGACCGGGGCUCAACUCCGGGGUUGCACUUGAAACUGGGCAUCUUGAGGGCAGGAGAGGAAAGUGGAAUUCCUGGUGUAGCGGUGAAAUGCGUAGAUAUCAGGAGGAACACCGGUGGCGAAGGCGGCUUUCUGGACUGACCCUGACGCUGAGACGCGAAAGCGUGGGGAGCAAACAGG
rnacentral:rRNA from 1 species